rnacentral:ncRNA from 1 species
GAACAAGCUUUGAAGGAAACUAGUAGUGAUCAUUUCCCUGUGACAGAGAGCCGGUGGUUGGUGGAAACCGGUACAAAGAUGGGUAGCGAAUUUCGAUUCUGGAGCUUCUUUUGACGAGAUCAAAAGACGGCACAGCCGUUAUUUUACUAAAGUGAUGAGAAUAUUUUCUCAUAACUAGGGUGGUACCGCGAUAUUCAAUCGUCCCUACG